rnacentral:rRNA from 1 species
AGCGAACGCUGGCGGCAGGCUUAACACAUGCAAGUCGAACGCAUCCUUCGGGGUGAGUGGCAGACGGGUGAGUAACACGUGGGAACGUACCUCUUUGUUCGGAAUAGCUUUUGGAAACGAAAGGUAAUACCGGAUACGCCCUUUUGGGGAAAGAUUUAUCGCAGAGAGAUCGGCCCGCGUCUGAUUAGCUAGUUGGUGAGGUAAUGGCUCACCAAGGCGACGAUCAGUAGCUGGUCUGAGAGGAUGAUCAGCCACACUGGGACUGAGACACGGCCCAGCCUCCUACGGGAGGCAGCAGUGUGGAAUAUUGCACAAUGGGCGCAAGCCUGUUCCAGCCAUGCCGCGUGAGUGAUGAAGGCCUUAGGGUUGUAAAGCUCUUUUGUCCGGGAAGAUAAUGACUGUACCGGAAGAAUAAGCCCCGGCUAACUUCGUGCCAGCCGCCGCCGUAA